UACAGAGGGGGCAAGCGUUAUUCGGAAUUAUUGGGCGUAAAGGGCGCGUAGGCGGCUUUGCAAGUGACGGGUGAAAGCCCUCGGCUUAACCGAGGAACUGCCUGUCAGACUGUAAGGCUUGAGACCGGGAGAGGUGAGUGGAAUUCCCAGUGUAGCGGUGAAAUGCGUAGAUAUCGUAAGGAAGACCAGUGGCGAAGGCGGGUCUCUGGACAGUUCCUGACGCUGAGGCACGAAGGCCAGGGGAGCAAACGGG
rnacentral:rRNA from 1 species